CCCAGGUCAGGCGGGGCUACCCGCUGAAUUUAAGCAUAUCAUAAACCCGGAAGGAA
rnacentral:rRNA from 1 species